GCCGGGCGGCGUCUACCUGCAGUCGACGCCCCGCCUGCUAGUGGCAGACAGAUGGUAACGCGUGGGAAUCUACCCAUCUCUGCUGAAUAUCUCUGGGAAACUGGAAUUAAUACCGCAUACGCCCUACGGGAGAAAGAUUUUUCGGGGAUGGAUGAGCCCGCGUUGGAUUAUCUAGUUGGUGGGGUAAAGGCCUACCAUGGCGACGAUCCAUAGCUGGUCUGAUAGGAUGAUCACCCCCAUUGGGACUGAUACACGGCCCACACUCCUACGGGAGGCUGCAGUGGGGAAUAUUGUACAAUGGGCGCAAGCCUGAUCCAGCCUUGCCGCGUGAGUGAUGAACGCCUUAGGGUUGUAAAGCUCUUUCACCGAUGAAGAUAAUGACGGUACCUCUAGAAGAAGCCCCGACUAACUUCGUGCCAGCCCCCGCGAAAAUACGAAGGGUGCUAACGUUGUUCGGAAUUACUGGGCGUAAAGCGCACGUAGGCGGAUAUUUAAUUCAGGGGUGAAAUCCCGCAGCUCAACUGCGGAACUGCCUUUGAUACUGGGUAUCUUGAGUAUGCAAAAGGUAAGUGGAAUUCCGAGUGUAGAGGUGAAAUUCGUAAAUAUGCAGAGGAACACCAGUGGCUAAGGCGGCUUAAUGGUCCAUUACUGACGCUGAGGUGCGAAAGCUCUCUGGAGCAAUCACUGAUUACAUACCCUGGUAGUCCACGCCAUAGACGAUGAAUGUAUACCCGUGGGACACCAUACUGUUCACGUGGGGCAGCUAAGCGGCAUUAGGACAUUUCCGCCGUGUGUCCGUACCGGUCGCAUGACUGAAUACUCAGACGCAGUUGGCGGGAGGUACCGCACCAGCGCUGAGCAUCGAUGGGUAUAUGUUCGGAAGGCCAACCGCCGCAGAGAGG
rnacentral:rRNA from 1 species